rnacentral:rRNA from 1 species
GGCGAAGGGGGGACGGAGAAGGCUAUGUUGGCCGGGCGACGGUUGUCCCGGUUUAAGCGUGUAGGCUGGUUUUCCAGGCAAAUCCGGAAAAUCAAGGCUGAGGCGUGAUGACGAGGCACUACGGUGCUGAAGCAACAAAUGCCCUGCUUCCAGGAAAAGCCUCUAAGCAUCAGGUAACAUCAAAUCGUACCCCAAACCGACACAGGUGGUCAGGUAGAGAAUACCAAGGCGCUUGAGAGAACUCGGGUGAAGGAACUAGGCAAAAUGGUGCCGUAACUUCGGGAGAAGGCACGCUGAUAUGUAGGUGAGGUCCCUCGCGGAUGGAGCUGAAAUCAGUCGAAGAUACCAGCUGGCUGCAACUGUUUAUUAAAAACACAGCACUGUGCAAACACGAAAGUGGACGUAUACGGUGUGACGCCUGCCCGGUGCCGGAAGGUUAAUUGAUGGGGUUAGCGCAAGCGAAGCUCUUGAUCGAAGCCCCGGUAAACGGCGGCCGUAACGAUAACGGUCCUAAGGUAGCGAAAUUCCUUGUCGGGUAAGUUCCGACCUGCACGAAUGGCGUAAUGAUGGCCAGGCUGUCUCCACCCGAGACUCAGUGAAAUUGAACUCGCUGUGAAGAUGCAGUGUACCCGCGGCAAGACGGAAAGACCCCGUGAACCUUUACUAUAGCUUGACACUGAACAUUGAGCCUUGAUGUGUAGGAUAGGUGGGAGGCUUUGAAGUGUGGACGCCAGUCUGCAUGGAGCCGACCUUGAAAUACCACCCUUUAAUGUUUGAUGUUCUAACGUUGACCCGUAAUCCGGGUUGCGGACAGUGUCUGGUGGGUAGUUUGACUGGGGCGGUCUCCUCCUAAAGAGUAACGGAGGAGCACGAAGGUUGGCUAAUCCUGGUCGGACAUCAGGAGGUUAGUGCAAUGGCAUAAGCCAGCUUGACUGCGAGCGUGACGGCGCGAGCAGGUGCGAAAGCAGGUCAUAGUGAUCCGGUGGUUCUGAAUGGAAGGGCCAUCGCUCAACGGAUAAAAGGUACUCCGGGGAUAACAGGCUGAUACCGCCCAAGAGUUCAUAUCGACGGCGGUGUUUGGCACCUCGAUGUCGGCUCAUCACAUCCUGGGGCUGAAGUAGGUCCCAAGGGUAUGGCUGUUCGCCAUUUAAAGUGGUACGCGAGCUGGGUUUAGAACGUCGUGAGACAGUUCGGUCCCUAUCUGCCGUGGGCGCUGGAGAACUGAGGGGGGCUGCUCCUAGUACGAGAGGACCGGAGUGGACGCAUCACUGGUGUUCGGGUUGUCAUGCCAAUGGCACUGCCCGGUAGCUAAAUGCGGAAGAGAUAAGUGCUGAAAGCAUCUAAGCACGAAACUUGCCCCGAGAUGAGUUCUCCCUGACCCUUUAAGGGUCCUGAAGGAACGUUGAAGACGACGACGUUGAUAGGCCGGGUGUGUAAGCGCAGCGAUGCGUUGAGCUAACCGGUACUAAUGAACCGU